CAAUAGCGUAUAUUUAAGUUGCUGCAGUUAAAAAGCUCGUAGUUGGAUUUCGGGUGGGAAUGGCCGGUCCGCCGUUUCGGUGUGCACUUGCUACGCCCACCUUGCUGCCGGGGACGUGCUCUUGAGUUCACGCUCGGGACACGGAGUCGGCGAGGUUACUUUGAGUAAAUUAGAGUGUUCAAAGCAGGCCUACGCUCUGAAUACAUUAGCAUGGAAUAACACGAUAGGACUCUGGCCUAUCUUGUUGGUCUGUAGGACCGGAGUAAUGAUUAAGAGGGACAGUCGGGGGCACUCGUAUUUCAUUGUCAGAGGUGAAAUUCUUGGAUUUAUGAAAGACGAACUACUGCGAAAGCAUUUGCCAAGGACGUUUUCAUUAA
rnacentral:rRNA from 1 species